UACGGAAGGGGGCUAGCGUUGCUCGGAAUCACUGGGCGUAAAGGGUGCGUAGGCGGGGUUUUUAAGUCAGGGGGUGAAAUCCUGGAGCUCAACUCCCAGAACUGCCUUUUGAUACUGAAGAUCUUGAGUCCGGGAGAGGUGAGUGGAACUGCGAGUGUAGAGGUGAAAUUCGUAGAUAUUCGCGAAGAACACCAGUGGCGAAGGCGGCUCACUGGCCCGGUACUGACGCUGAGGCGCGAAAGCGUGGGGAGCGAACGAGG
rnacentral:rRNA from 1 species